GCGAUGCUUUCAGAGACUCAACCAAAGAGCUAGGAUUCCAGCCAAGAAUGAAAUUCUUCAAAUUAAUUAUACAGCUGUUUAGUGUACUGGGGCAGAAACAGCCAUUGCCGCUUCCAGGGCAGAAGAACCUCUGAGCAGUGCCUUCUGUACUUUUGUGGACAUAGUGAAGCCUGGUGCAGUAAAAUGAGGAGCUGGUUCCCUCAAGAAAAGACCACCAAGGCAAUCUGGGCAAAAGUUAUAAGAAAUAACAAGCAAAGAAGUGACUUUUAUUUAGUGGAUAUUUGGAUAUGAGUCAUGUUCUUUGCUUAUAUGUGAAAGAAACUGCCUUAAGAAUAAAACUGAGCUCAAAGAAUUUGGCUCAACAAGAAGGGUACAAUUAAAUGCUCAACUAAGGAAACUUUAGAGAUAUUCUAUUGAUAGUUCUUGACAAACUUCUGGGGGCCAUGGAGAUCAUCAGUCAAAACUUGGAGAACCAACAUGAGGAAAACUAAUCAAAAAGUGCUGAUUACCAGCACCAACAGACUCAGCAAUACCACAAUAAAUUCAAAUAUUCUAUUCAUCUACAAGCAUUAAGUUCUCUUUCAAGAUACCAUACAAUAGCAAGGGUGAUCAAUGCAUCAGGUUUACAUGGGACUUUCGCAGCACUGAAGGUCUCCUGACCCAGCCACUCUAAAAAGCACCCAACUUCAACAUGAUGAGAUUAAACAAUCCUUGUGUUUUGAAGAUUUAAGGGUGCCUGAAGGCUAAAUAGAAAAUACCACCUAGCCUCAAUGUCGUAUGAGUUCUGUUCCCUCCUUUACUUGGGGAGAACAAAGGGUCACUCAAGUCACCUAUGGCCUUCUAGCAGGGUGGACCAAGGAGGAGGCCACCACCUUCAAUGCAGGCUGUGGAGUCCUUUUCCUGGUCAGAGAUAACCUGGCAAGGAUGUCCCAACAUGCAGAAAGAAGCAAAGGCCCAGGGAGGGACAUCUGGUUCUAUUUCCACCCUUGCAAUACCAGCUGCACCACUAGGGGCAACAGGAUCUCUGGCCUGAGGCCUGCCCACCCCUGGCCCACCUCCAGCAUGCCAGCCAAGGGGCAGAGACGUGUAAUCCACAUCCCAACCAGGGACUCUGGAAUAUGAAGAGCAAAGAUUUCCUGGAGCAGACUAUCCGUAGAAAGAAUGCAGGUGAAGAAUGCAGAAUGCAAAAUGUUUAGCAUUCUGGAGCAAUGUCCUUUUCUACAUCAUUAUCAGAGUCUCUAUGUGCUACAGAAACACCUGUAUAUUGAACUACACCUCUCUCGGUUCCCCUCUCCUGGCCAGUGCUCUCACAGUCCACAAAGGCCUACACAGUGGGCCUGGACUAGAUGCCUCAGAUUUAGACUAAGUCAGAAAGUAGAUGCACAUUUCGGGAGGGGCAAACCUCUUAUAGGCCCACUCUGGCUUCUGGCCUACACCACCCAUAAAGGUAAUUACUAACCACAUAUACCUAUCUAAAUUAAAUUAAAUGGGUUAAAAUUAGAAAUUCAGAGGUAGGUAUAGUGGUACAUGCCUAUAAUCCUACCUGCUCAGGAGGCUGAGACAGGAGAAUCUCAUAUUCAAGACUAGCCUUUGUAGUUUAGAGAUCCUCUCAAAAUUUUUUAAGGGCUGGGAAUAUAGCUCAGUUGUAGAGCAUGCUUGCCUAGCAUGCAAAUGACCCUGGUUUCAAUCCCCAGUACCAAAAAAAAAAUUUAGAAAUUCCGAUCCUUCUUACAGGAUGUUCCUAAGGUAGUCAAAUGGAGACACAGAAAAUAGAAUGGCAGUUUCCAGGGCCUGGAAGGAGAAAGGAAUGAGGAGUUAUUGUUUAAUGAAUAAAGAGCUUCCACGGGGGAAUAUGAAAAAGUUUUAGAGGUGGAUGAAGGUGAUGAAUGUAUACCAAUGUGAUUACACAGCGCCACCAAUUUGUGCCCUCAAAAAAGGCUAAAAUAAAAGCUGAGUAUGGUGGUACACGCCUGUACCCCAGCACUUGGGAGGCGAAGACAGAAAGACUGGUGAAUUCAAGGUCAGCCUAGGCUACACAGCAAGACCCUGUCUCCAAAAAAAAAAGUUAAAACUACUGUAUAUAUUUUACCACAAUAAAAAUGAUUUAGUACCUUGGUUUCAUAACUCCUGCCAGUCUCAAUAGUCACAAUGGCAAGUGGCUAACCUAACUGCACAACACCAAUAACAGAACAUUGUUAUCAUCACAGGAAGUCCAAGAGGUUAGCACUACUCUAUUCCCUGGUAACAAAACCUUAUCCCUAAAAUCCUCUGCCAAGAGUGCUAGAGGGAUGACCAUUACUGGAUAAGAGUAGAAAUUGGUGCAAAACUUCAGAACACUGCAAGACUGUUUGGAACAUGUAGUAUUAGUUUCACAAAGCUCUUUAGUCCAAGACAGCCACUUACUUUUUAAGCAGUCUUCCUGCUUGACCAAAAGCUUGCACAUUUCAUAGAAGCAAAGGGAGAGUAGCCUAGUGGGUGUUAGGGAGGUCCCUGAGGUUACCAAACCUUAGGGCUUCAGCUAUCAGACCUUGAAAAAGAUACUUAGCUUUUAAAACCUAAGUUUCAAAACCCAUAAAAUGGAAUUGGUAAUGAUAAUGAACAUCCCAUAAAACUGUUAUGAUAGUUAAAUGAGAUAAAGGACCUAAAAUAAUUAUUAAAAAUAGGACUCAUUUAACAAAGGGUGCUGGACCACCUAGUUAUGCACAUGCACAAGAAUGAAGGUGACCCUUGCCUCACACCAUACACAAAAAUUAACUCAAAAUGCACCAAACACAUAACAGUAAGAGCUAAAACUAUAAAACUCAUAAGAGAAAACAUAAGUAUAAAUCUUGGCAUCUUUGAAUUAGGCAGUAGUUUCUUAGCUUUAUGACAACAAAACCAAAAGCACCCACAGAAGUAAAAGACAUAAACUGGACUUCAUCAAAACUUAAAAAGAAAUUUUAAAUUCAUCAAAAUUUUAAAAGACAGCAAAUUAUAUAUUGCAAAUUAUAUCUACAAUAAGGGUCUAAUAACCUGAACAUAUAAAGAACUCUGAAGCUCAAUAGUAAGAACCCCCUCCCCCGCAAAAAAAGGGCAUAUGAAAAGAUGCUUCACAUCAAAAUCAAUGAGAUACCACUUCACAUCCACUAGGAUGGCCAUAAUAAAAAAGACAGAUAGUAACAAAUGCUGGUAAGGAUACAGAGAAAUUGUAACCCUCAUGUACUAGUGGAGGAAAUAUAAAAUGGUUUAUUUUGAAAAAUAGUUGGCAGGCAGUUCCUCAAAAGCUUAUAUGUAGAGCUACCAUAUGACUCAGCAAUUCCAUUCCUGAGAAGGAAGUGUCCAAGCAGAAGUUUGUACAUCAAUAUUUACUUAUAAUACCCAAAAAUGUGGGAAAAAACAAAACUCCAUCAACUGAUGAAUGGAUAAGCAGAAUGUGGUCUAUCCACACAGAAAUUAUUCAGAUAUAAAAAGGAAUGAGGUGCUAAUACACAAUGUAACACAGACAAGCACUGAAAGCAUUACACUAUGUGAAAGAAGCCAGACACAAAACAUUCCAUAUUGUAUGAUUCCAUCUACAUGAAAUACCCAGAAAGGACAAAUCUAUUGAGAAAAAGAGAUAAGUCGUGGCCAGGAGCUGGACAAGGGAAAAUGGGAAGUGACUGUUAAUUGGUAUGUAGUUUCUUUGAAGUGAAGAAAAUGUUUUGGACUUAAAGUGGUAAUGAUUGCAUGCAUUUGUGAAUAUCCUAAAAAAAUCCAAUGAAUUGUACAUUUCCGGGGGGUUGUUUUGUUUCUUUUUUGUUAUUGUUAUUUGUUUUGUUAUUGUUUGUUUGGUUUUGGGGGGUUUUUUUGGGUACCAGGGAUCAAACUCGAGAUCUGGUGCUUGUGGGCAGGCACUGGAACCACUGAGCUAAAUCCCUGGCCCCUUGUUUUGUUAUUGUUUUGUUUAUUAGAUAGGGUUUUGCCAUGUAGUCCAAGCUGGCCUAGAACUCAGGCUGGCUUCAAAUUCACAAUCCUUCUGCCUCAGCCUUCUAAGUGCUGCAAUUACACAUGAAUGCCACCAUGCCUACCUUGAAUUACACUACACUUUAAAGUGGCAAAUAUUAUGUAUGCUAUCUGAAGUAUAUUCAAUUGUUUUUCAAUACUAAGGAUUGAACUCAGAGCCUUAUGCAUGCUGGGGCAAACACUCUACCACUGAACUAAAUGCCCAGUCUUUUGUUUUUUUAGACAGGCUUCAUUAAGUUGUCCAGGCUGACCUUGAACUUGCAGUACUCCCUCAGCCUCUUGAAUAGCUGGGAUUACAGGUAUGUUCAGUUCAUUUCUCGAUUUUUUUUAAAAGGCUUCAUGAUGACCCAAAAUACAGAUACAUAAAAACAAAAGUCGCAUUAUUAAAUUUUGAGAAAGAUCAAGAAACAAACAUCUUUAGUGAAAGAAAAUGCCAGACAUGGUAGCACAUGCCUAUGAUCCCAGCUGCUCAGAUGAGGCAAGAAUUGCAAGUUCGAGGCCAGCGUGGGUACCUUAGGAAGACCCUAUUUUUAAAAAAUUCAGAAGAGCUGAGGAUGUAGCUCAGUGUAACCUGGGUUCAAUCUCUAGUGAAGAAGGAAAAGGAGAACGAGGAGGAGGAGGAGAAGGAGGAACAGGAUGAAGAGAAGAAGGAGAGGAGGAGAAGGAGAAGAGAGAAGGAAGCAGAAGAAUAUGAGCAAAUAUAGUUAUACAUAUAUUAAAUUAUUUUUCUAAAUUUAUUUUUGUUACAUUACGUCUUUCUCUGUCCCUGGUCCUAGUAACACCAUAAUCAAAUAAAGACUGAAAAAGUAAUAUUUUCCUAAUGUAAU
rnacentral:lncRNA from 1 species